CCUACGGGAGGCUGCAGUGGGGAAUAUUGCGCAAUGGCCGCAAGCCUGACGCAGCGACGCCGCGUGAGGGAUGAAGGUCUUCGGAUCGUAAAACUCUUUCAGCAGGGAAGAACGGUGACUGUGUUAAUCAGCAGUGAAUUUACGCUACCUGCAAAGGAAGCACCGGCUAACUCCGUGCCAGCAGCAGCGGUAAUACGGGGGGUGGGAGCGUUAAUCGGAAUUACUGGGCGUAAAGCGCUCGUAGGCGGUAUGUCAAGUCAAGGGUGAAAUCCCCGGGCUCAACGUGGGAACUGCCUUUGAAACUGGCAAACUUGAGUGUGUGAGAGGUGAGUGGAAUUCCAGGUGUAGGAGUGAAAUCCGUAGAUAUCUGGAGGAACACCAGUGGCGAAGGCGACUAUCUGGCACAUAACUGACGCUGAGGAGCGAAAGCGUGGGUAGCAAACAGGAUUAGAUACCCGAGUAGUC
rnacentral:rRNA from 1 species